rnacentral:piRNA from 1 species
UGUACCAUCACUGCCACAUCAGGGCCCCCAAA